GCUUUACUGUAACUUGAAAUUGAAAUUGGACUUUAUUCGCGCAGUAUAGGUGGGAGGCGUUGAUUAUAAUCUUGUGGGAUUAUUGGAGCCAUCAGUGAGAUACCACUCUUGUAAUGUUAGAUUUCUAACUUUGAAUCAUGAUCUGGUCAAAGAACAGUUUCAGGCGGGCAGUUUGACUGGGGCGGUCGCCUCCUAAACGGUAACGGAGGCGUACAAAGGUUUCCUCUGAACGGGUAGAAAUCGUAUCUAGAGUGUAAAGGCAUAAGGAAGCUUGACUGUGAGACCUACAAGUCGAGCAGGGACGAAAGUCGGUCUUAGUGAUCUGACGGUACUGAGUGGAAAGGCCGUCACUCAACGGAUAAAAGUUACUCUAGGGAUAACAGGCUGA
rnacentral:rRNA from 1 species